ACGACCUUACUUGAACAGGAUCUGUUCUAUAGGCUUGUACCUCUGUAUCCUUGAUUUCUAAGGAGACAGGCUCUUAACCCUGGUUGAUGAACCAUGACCGUGCGAUCAGAGCGUGAUUAACGGCUACGAUCGUUCUCGGACGUUUCCGGUGCUGUAGAGGAUCGUUACUCGGCUAGGUUCUUCCUUGCCGGGGUGGUCGCACGGCGGUCUGACAGGUC
rnacentral:snoRNA from 1 species